UUUUGGACAAUGGGCGAAAGCCUGAUCCAGCAAUGCCGCGUGCAGGAAGAAGGCCUUCGGGUUGUAAACUGCUUUUGUCCCCCACCGCCCACGGUCUGCCCUAAUACGGCGGGCUAAUGACGGUACCGUAAGAAUAAGCACCGGCUAACUACGUGCCAGCAGCCGCGGUAAUACGUAGGGUGCGAGCGUUAAUCGGAAUUACUGGGCGUAAAGCGUGCGCAGGCGGUUAUGUAAGACAGUUGUGAAAUCCCCGGGCUCAACCUGGGAAUUGCAUCUGUGACUGCAUAGCUAGAGUACGGUAGAGGGGGAUGGAAUUCCGCGUGUAGCAGUGAGAUGCGUAGAUAUGCGGGGGAACACCGAUGGCGAAGGCAAUCCCCUGACCUGUACUACGCUCAGCACGAAA
rnacentral:rRNA from 1 species